rnacentral:rRNA from 1 species
UUGUAUAAUGGGUCAGCGAGUUAUUGUUGCUAGCAAGGUUAACCGUCUAGGGGAGCCGUAGGGAAACCGAGUCUUAAUAGGGCGAUAGUUGGUAGCAAUAGACCCGAAACCAGUCGAUCUAUCCAUGACCAGGUUGAAGGAUGGGUAACACCAUCUGGAGGACCGAACCCACGCCUGUUGAAAAAGUCGGGGAUGAGUUGUGGAUCGGAGUGAAAGGCUAAUCAAGGCUGGAGAUAGCUGGUUCUCCUCGAAAGCUAUUUAGGUAGCGCCUCGUGAAUAUCCAUUGGGGGUAGAGCACUGUUUCGGCUAGGGGGUCAUCCCGACUUACCAACCCGAUGCAAACUCCGAAUACCGAUGAGACGAAUCACGGGAGACACACGGCGGGUGCUAACGUCCGUCGUGAAAAGGGACACAACCCAGACCGUCAGCUAAGGUCCCAAAUACCAGUUAAGUGGGAAACGAUGUGGGAAGGCAUAGACAGCUAGGAGGUUGGCUUAGAAGCAGCCAUCCUUUAAAGAAAGCGUAAUAGCUCACUAGUCGUGUCGGCCUGCGCGUAAGAUGUAACGGGGCUAAAACUGGUAACCGAAGCUACGGGUGCAUCGCAAGAUGCGCGGUAGAGGAGCGUUCUGUAAGCCGUUGAAGCUGCAUCGUAAGGUGUGGUGGAGGUAUCAGAAGUGCGAAUGCUGACAUGAGUAACGAUAAACGGGGUGAAAUACCCCGUCGCCGAAAGAUCAAGGUUUCCUGUCCAACGUUAAUCGGGACAGGGUGAGUCGGCCCCUAAGGCGAGGCGGAAACGCGUAGUCGAUGGCAAACCGGUUAAAAUUCCGGUACCGGCUUUUACUGCGAUGGAGAGACGGAGCAGGCUAGGUAGGCAGGGCGUUGGUUGUCCCUGUUUAAGCGAGUAGGGGGAGAUCUUAGGCAAAUCCGGGAUCUCACUACCCUGAGACGUAAUGACGAGUUGGCCCUUGUGGCCGACGAAGCUACUGAUGCCAUACUUCCAGGAAAAUCUUCUAAGCUUCAGGUAAAAGCAGACCGUACUGUAAACCGACACAGGUGAUCUGGUAGAGAAUACCAAGGCGCUUGAGAGAACUUGGGUGAAGGAACUAGGCAAAAUGGUACCGUAACUUCGGGAGAAGGUACGCUCCUCCACGUGAAGGACUUGCUCCGUAAGCGUAGGGGAGUCGAAGAAAUCAGGCAGCUGCAACUGUUUAUUAAAAACACAGCACUCUGCAAACACGUAAGUGGAAGUAUAGGGUGUGACGCCUGCCCGGUGCCGGAAGGUUAAUUGAUGGGGUCAGCGCAAGCGAAGCUCUUGAUCGAAGCCCCGGUAAACGGCGGCCGUAACUAUAACGGUCCUAAGGUAGCGAAAUUCCUUGUCGGGUAAGUUCCGG